UACAGAGGUCUCAAGCGUUGUUCGGAUUCAUUGGGCGUAAAGGGUGCGUAGGCGGCGCGGUAAGUCGGGUGUGAAAUCUCGGAGCUUAACUCCGAAACUGCAUUCGAUACUGCGGUGCUAGAGUACUGGAGAGGAGAUUGGAAUUCACGGUGUAGCAGUGAAAUGCGUAGAUAUCGUGAGGAAGACCAGUGGCGAAGGCGGAUCUCUGGACAGUUACUGACACUGAGGCACGAAGGCCAGGGGAGCAAACGGG
rnacentral:rRNA from 1 species